UUAUCCGGUUGAUCCUGCCGGACCUGACUGCUAUCGGAUUGAUACUAAGCCAUGCGAGUCUUUGUAGUAAUACAAGGCAGACGGCUCAGUAACGCGUAGUCAACCUACCCUAUGGACGGGAAUAAUCUCGGGAAACUGAGCAUAAUACCCGGCGUACCACCAUUCCUGGAAUGGUUGGUGGUUAAAAUGAUUCGUCGCCGUAGGAUGGGACUGCGACCUAUCAGCUUGUUGGUGAGGUAAAGGCCCACCAAGGCGAUUACAGGUACGGGCUCUGAGAGGAGAAGCCCGGAGAUGGGUACUGAGACACGGACCCAGGCCCUAUGGGGCGCAGC
rnacentral:rRNA from 1 species